AGAAUGCCUCGGGCCGGCCCAACGCUUUAAAGGGACAGCACGGGGCGCGCGCUUCCCGCUUAAAAGCUUUAAUCCCCGAAUUUGACUGGUGCAGGCCCUUCUAAUGCACUUCCUAAAAACUGAAGUAUAAUAAUACAUACAGGAAAGUGCUAGUGUGCCCUCGCGUUUCCACAGACAGCACGCCCUGUACACAGACACCAGCGGCCCUCCGGGACCUGCGCAGGUGGCGUCGCCCGGCGUUGUCUCCGGAGUCGAUUCGGGCCGGGGCACCUCCCCGGGCGACCAGGCCCCUUCUUGAUCAUCGCUGGUACGGAUGAGAGCGGCAGUGGGCAUUUGGAAAGCACCUGGGGCCGCGCCCGGGCGCAGUGCCCCCAUGUGGCCUCCCACCCCGGGCGGGCAGGACGAUUCCUGCCCAUCUGGAAGACCAGGAACCUGCGCGUUCACAGGGUUCGGAAGCCCGGGCUGCGCCUUCCCGCGGGGCCGGCUGCCGGGCUGGGGGCUCUUCCCGCCUCUGCAUGCACAGAGCCCGCGGUGCACGAACCUGCUCCCCGCCAGCCCCGCGGACUGGCAGGGCCGCUCUGGAGUCACCCGCGCCCGCUCCGCAGUGCGCAAACUCACUUCGCAGCGGGCUCUCCCGGGGCCAGCCCUUCCCUCCUGGGCGGGCAUUUUCACCUCCAGGUACAAGGGGGUGGUCCCCAGAGGAGGACUCAGGGGCUUAAGGAGAAGCUGAGGCCCGGUCCUCUGGCCUCAACGACUGCACAUUCUCGCCGCCUGCUUCACUUCUUAGAGCCUUGGAGGAGAUAGAACCUUCUAGUAAAAAUGAGAAAAUCCGGCCGGGCGCGGCGGCUCACGCCUGUAAUCCCAGCACUUUGGGAGGCUGAGGCGAGUGGAUCACCUGAGGUCGGGAUCACCUGAGGCUGAGGCUGAGGCAAGGAGAAUCGCUGGAACCCAGGAAAGAGGUUGCAGUGAGCCGAGAUCGCACCAUUGCACUCCAGCCUGGGCAACAAGAGCAAAACUCCGUCUCAAAAAAAUAAAAAAGAUGUUCAGAGAAACAGUUCCAUUUACUAAGUCACUGCUGGUGGCCAAAGCCUAGUUAAUGUUCUGAAAAUCUCCAUCGUGUUUGUUCCUCUUCUGUGAUUCUUAUUUUCUCUUCUAUUUUCACCUGCCAUAUUUUUUCCUGAGGCUGACAACUGUUUGGUAGGAUAUAAGAGGAUUUAAAACUUAGUAAAGCAAAUUACUUGCCUUUGUUAAA
rnacentral:lncRNA from 1 species